CCCGACCACAUAGUUCCUGCGGCUCCUUCCAGCGAGGGCGCUAUGUGAUCACAGUGGCCCCGGGACGGGACCACACGCAGAGCCCUGUCUCCGAGGCCCCAGCCCCAGGUUCCAGCCCAGGCCCUGCACUGACUGCCAGUGGACCAGGGUCAAUAUCUUGGAAUUGCCCUGACCCUGCCCUUUGCAGAAGCCCGAGGCUCUGGCGUAAAGCUGAGGGGUACAGCCCAAGCAGUCGCAAGGGAGGACACACAGCCAGAUUCUCUGGAACUUCUGUGCAGUGAAGACUUCUCCAUAAGGCCCUGGGGCAUCUUCACGACUGGGCAAGAUGGUCCUUGCUGUGGGGAGGACCCCAGAGGGGCCCACAGAAUGCUGACAGGAUGUGGCACUGGAGCCCUGAUGCAGGAGUCCUAGACAGAGGUGACAAAGGAAGAGGGAGUGCUGCAAUGAGGAGAGGUAACAAGACUCUGCUUCAAAGAACAGCUCUCAAGAGAUGGAGAGGAGUGGCCGGCCCGUUCCUGAUGUGAGCCUGAAGGUUUGUGAGCUGAGCCCCAGAUUGAGCCUGAGAAUGAAGGCGGGGGUGGGGAUACAAGCAGCUCCUGACCCAGCCUUGCCUGAAGCUGGCCCUACUCUUGGAUCUUUUAGUAACGAGUUUCAAUAAAUUCUCUUUUGUGUUUAAGCCA